rnacentral:rRNA from 1 species
UGCGGUUAGACAAAAAAUGCUAUUAUUUUUUUUUCGGUUUUUAUAAUUAGUUAAUAAAUUUUUAUUUUUAUUUUAUUUAAAUAUUGGGUGAAAUCUUAUUUUAUAUUAAAUUAAUUUUUUGUUUAUGAGGCUAAGAAAUCUGGAUUAAUAAACUGGGAUUAGAUACCCCAUUAUUCCAGGCAUGGAAAGUGAAACUUGAUUAAUAUUAGUUAUGUUCUUUAAAAUUAAAAAAUUUGGCGGUUUUUUACUCCAAUCAGGGGAAUCUGUCCUGUAAUCGAUAAUCCACGAUUAAUGAAACUUAUUUUUGUUUGUAUAUCGUCGUUGUUAAUUAUUUUUAAAUAUAUAUGAUUUUUAUAUAUUAUUUUGUGUAAAAUCAGAUCAAGGUGCAGUUUUUUUAAGUAGAGAUGGAUUACAAUGAAUUUAUUUUAGGAUUUUCUUUAUCAUUAAGGUUUUGAAUUUGGAUUUGAAUGUAAUUUUAAUUGUUAAUUAAAGUGAAUUUGGCUCUAAAAUGUGU